rnacentral:lncRNA from 1 species
CCUCAUGUCUUGCACGACUCCCCAUUAUCAUUGCUUUGCCUUCUGCAUUGCUAACUCAUCUUCCACAACCCACAGCGGCCCCCAACAUCACUCUGUUAAUUAAGCUUCAUCCUUGGGUAUGCAGGUGGGUUCCCUUUUGCUACAGUUCUGCAGAAAAAGAAAAAAAGUAGAGCUGGAUAUGUCAUUCUUUGUUGCUUAGAAAGGGGGGGAGAAAAGGGUUGAAUUCAAGCAUUCUUCUUUGCAUCCAGGCCAUACAAUAUUUCCUGGUCAAUUGGUUUUUCUACUUGAGGGGAUAUAUCACUUUUCAAAGGGAGUAUGUGCUUGUCCAAUUUUAGGGUAUAUUUCUAAGUAGAUAUAGCUCUGCUUCUAAAAUGUAACAAUACUUUCUAAGCAAUUCUAUUGACAAAUUUGAAUAAAUAGUUCCUUUUAAUUAUGCAUAAUUUGACAUAUCUUCUAUCCAGGCAUCUCACUUGGAAUAGAAAACACCCAUAUCUCCAAAUUGGUACUCAAGUUCAAGCUCUACAAGAAUAUGAAAAUUUUCUUUAAGCUUUUGUGUAACAAAAAGAAUGAAAGAAUGAAAGGAAAAAAAAAAUUGAACCAGAUACUUUGCCUUGAGGGAAGCAGAUGCCACCAACAUAUGAUUAUGAAGUGUGAUAUGAACUAAUAAAUUCAUGAAAAACCCAAUGAACGUCAAGAAAAUUGGCAUCCACGCGGAGUUAAUUACAAAGAUUAAUAACUAAUUGGGUCCAAUUAGGAUCUUCUCACUCUUAAAUACACUAAAAUUCACAAUCUGAAGUAAAGGCAAGUAGAAAAUUACUAGAAAAUAUAUAUAAGUAGUGGGAGGCCUCGAUAUCCCUUUCCUUGGGUGCCUUCCAAACAC